UCCCUGGUGGCUCAGAUGGUAGAGAAUCUGCCUGUGGUGCCGGAGACCCAGGUUCAAUCCCUGGGUUGGGAA
rfam:TPA: Bos taurus chromosome 20, whole genome shotgun sequence.